GUUAAGAAUAUCCACUCUCCAGAUUUCGUGCGGCGUUUGCCACGAGAAAUUGGUAAAUGUUUACCUAAUUGGAAGGGUAAGAUGACAAUUAAUUUGCCAUUCCGAUGCUGCCAAAAAUGUUGAUUUCUGCAAACUACAUAUUAACAUCCUAGUAUGUAAGUGAUAAUCAAACCAAAUAAAAUAUACUCUUAAUCAAUUUAGCAUCUUUUUCUAAAUGCGAGUAUGUCGUAAUGAUCAAAUAUGCGUGUUUUCUUCUAUCUAUAGCAUCAGAAUACCGAUCUUGGCUGCUGUACUACUGCAUUCCAUGUUUGCAAGGCAUAUUGCCAGACAAAUAUUUGCGAAAUUUUGCCCUUUUGGCUAAAGGCAUGCAUCUGCUUCUUGCUGCUAAGAUCAGCGAAGAAAUGGUUAGGAGAGCGGAAGUUGUCUUGAACGACUUCUACUAUGAAGCUCAAGACAUUUAUAGAGAGAACUUCUGCGGUCUCAACGUCCACAAUCUUUGUCACCUCUCCGACCAAGUGAGAAACUGGGGACCGUUGUGGACCCAUUCAUGCUUUAAUUUUGAGGAUUUGAAUGGAUGGAUAAAGACGUUCUGCCACGAACAGGAGACGUGUGUUAUCAGAUUGUGAAAGCAAUGUCGACGUGGCAGGCGAACGUAAGAGAUUGUGUAGCAGAUUCGCGUGACGAUCCUGCGUCAAACACAUUCAUUCAAGACAUGACGACGUCCCUCCCCUAUUCGAAAUUGCAUACGCGACUUUUGCAGUCUAGAACCAAAUAUUGCAACAUUUUCCCACCAUGUAAGCCCGCAAUUUUGAGCAGCAACCUGUACGAUGCAGAAAAGAGUUAGAUUCCAAUUGUGGAGAGCUAGAGGAAGUGUCUCGCAUCUUACUUAGAUAACGGUGAAGUCUUUUACGCUGUCACCUACGAGAGGCACAUCAAGAGAGAACCCUUUGUCGUCCUACUUCGCAGUUCGUCUGUUGCUAUCAUAAAGAAAUUCCUUUAUUCUAGACAGACCAACAGAGUGUACGUAGUCGUGGAUGACCUUCAAAAGAUGGUGUCGCUAUUUCGUGACCGACUGCCGAUGCUAACGAAGAUCAAGAAAAACAGCCCGGCAAACGAGAGAUCUUACAUUGUCAGUGCAGAAGAUGUGAUAGAGAAAGUCAUUUACAUGAACACCAUCCCUACCGAAACAUGCCUACGUUACUCAACAGCCAAACCAUUUUGAGAAAUUAUGACUGCCUGUUGUGUACGUGCAGGCGGACAAAUUAGCAAAGACAGUCGCUGAGGCUUCCUUUUUGGUCUAUAAGAUUGCGGAAAUUUUCAGAGAGAAGAGACAAGUAUAGAUCGUGACUCUUGAUCAGCAAAUGCACAAUUUCAUUGAUAUUUUGCAGUAUAGUCUGAACAGUUUUGACUUGUCAUUGUUGCAAUUCUCGACAAAAACUGUCUAAACGUGCGUGUGUAUAUGUAUGAAAAUAAGUCUGCUGAUGAAGCAUAACUGUAUUUGAAUACAUGUUAAUGGCAA